UGAGGAGCGGCUGUUUCACACUGGGAACUCUGGUCUGAAGGGCCCGGAGCAAGUCCUCUGCGCGUGGCAUCCUACAAGCUAGUGAAACUAAGCACAAAGGAAAACAAAAGGUGGCCUCAAGCUAACGUUGGACUUUCAAGGAUACUUAAAACCUGAAAAUAGAAAGGCUGAAGAAGGUAGUAAUCAACUUAAGGAGUUUUAAGAUUUUGG